rnacentral:rRNA from 1 species
UACGUAGGGUCCGAGCGUUGUCCGGAAUUAUUGGGCGUAAAGGGCUCGUAGGCGGUUCGUCACGUCGGGAGUGAAAACUCGGGGCUUAACCCCGAGCCUGCUUCCGAUACGGGCAGACUAGAGGUAGGCAGGGGAGAGCGGAACUCCUGGUGUAGCGGUGGAAUGCGCAGAUAUCAGGAGGAACACCGGUGGCGAAGGCGGGUAUCUGGGCCGGAACUGACGCUGAGGAGCGAAAGCGUGGGGAGCGAACAGG